rnacentral:rRNA from 1 species
CAACAGGGAUUGCCUCAGUAACGGCGAGUGAAGCGGCAACAGCUCAAAUUUGAAAUCUGGCCUCGGCCCGAGUUGUAAUUUGUAGAGGAAGCUUUUGGUGCGGCACCGACCGAGUCCCCUGGAACGGGGCGCCAUAGAGGGUGAGAGCCCCGUAUGGUUGGACGCCUAUCCUCUGUAAAGCUCCUUCGACGAGUCGAGUAGUUUGGGAAUGCUGCUCAAAAUGGGAGGUAAAUUUCUUCUAAAGCUAAAUACCGGCCAGAGACCGAUAGCGCACAAGUAGAGUGAUCGAAAGAUGAAAAGCACUUUGAAAAGAGGGUUAAAUAGCACGUGAAAUUGUUGAAAGGGAAGCGCUUGUGACCAGACUUGCGCCCCGUCGAUCAUCCGGGGUUCUCCCCGGUGCACUCGGCGGGGCUCAGGCCAGCAUCGGUUUUCGCGGGGGGACAAAGGUCCCGGGAACGUAGCUCCUCCGGGAGUGUUAUAGCCCGGGGCGCAAUGCCCUCGCGGGGACCGAGGACCGCGCUUCGGCAAGGAUGCUGGCGUAAUGGUCAUCAGCGACCCGUCUUGAAACACGGACCAAGGAGUCAAGGUUUUGCGCGAGUGUUUGGGUGUAAAACCCGCACGCGUAAUGAAAGUGAACGUAGGUGAGAGCUUCGGCGCAUCAUCGACCGAUCCUGAUGUAUUCGGAUGGAUUUGAGUAGGAGCGUUAAGCCUUGGACCCGAAAGAUGGUGAACUAUGCUUGGAUAGGGUGAAGCCAGAGGAAACUCUGGUGGAGGCUCGCAGCGGUUCUGACGUGCAAAUCGAUCGUCAAAUCUGAGCAUGGGGGCGAAAGACUAAUCGA